AUUGAACGCUGGCGGCAGGCUUAACACAUGCAAGUCGAGCGGAAACGAUGGGUGCUUGCACCCAGGCGUCGAGCGGCGGACGGGUGAGUAAUGCAUAGGAAUCUGCCCAGUAGUGGGGGAUAGCCCGGGGAAACCCGGAUUAAUACCGCAUACGCCCUUUGGGGGAAAGCAGGGGAUCUUCGGACCUUGCGCUAUUGGAUGAGCCUAUGUCGGAUUAGCUUGUUGGUGGGGUAACGGCUCACCAAGGCAACGAUCCGUAGCUGGUCUGAGAGGAUGAUCAGCCACAUCGGGACUGAGACACGGCCCGAACUCCUACGGGAGGCAGCAGUGGGGAAUAUUGGACAAUGGGGGCAACCCUGAUCCAGCCAUGCCGCGUGUGUGAAGAAGGCUUUCGGGUUGUAAAGCACUUUCAGUGAGGAGGAAAACCUUACGACUAAUACUCGUGAGGCUUGACGUUACUCACAGAAGAAGCACCGGCUAACUCCGUG
rnacentral:rRNA from 1 species